GGGCGGAAUGGCGGUUGCGGUCCUGAAAAUCCUGGUGUCGGGGGUUCGAUUCCCCCUCCGCCCA
rnacentral:tRNA from 1 species